rnacentral:rRNA from 1 species
AGUAAUGUCUGGGAAACUGCCUGAUGGAGGGGGAUAACUACUGGAAACGGUAGCUAAUACCGCAUAAUGUCGCAAGACCAAAGUGGGGGACCUUCGGGCCUCUUGCCAUCAGAUGUGCCCAGAUGGGAUUAGCUAGUAGGUGGGGUAACGGCUCACCUAGGCGACGAUCCCUAGCUGGUCUGAGAGGAUGACCAGCCACACUGGAACUGAGACACGGUCCAG